ACGAAGGGGGCUAGCGUUGUUCGGAAUUACUGGGCGUAAAGGGCGCGUAGGCGGUGCGGUAAGUCACCUGUGAAACCUCUAGGCUCAACCUAGAGCCUGCAGGUGAAACUGCCGUGCUCGAAGGCAGGAGAGGGAAGUGGAAUUCCCGGUGUAGUGGUGAAAUGCGUAGAUAUCGGGAGGAACACCAGUGGCGAAGGCGACUUCCUGGCCUGUUCUUGACGCUGAGGCGCGAAAGCUAGGGGAGCAAACGGGA
rnacentral:rRNA from 1 species